CGGGGUGUAGUAUAAAGGCUAGUAUUUGCGCAUGGGGUGCGUAAGAUCUCGGUUCAAUUCCGAGCACCCCGA
rnacentral:tRNA from 1 species